UACGGGGGGGGCAAGCGUUGUUCGGAAUUACUGGGCGUAAAGGGCUCGUAGGUGGCCAACUAAGUCAGACGUGAAAUCCCUCGGCUUAACCGGGGAACUGCGUCUGAUACUGGAUGGCUUGAGUUCGGGAGAGGGAUGCGGAAUUCCAGGUGUAGCGGUGAAAUGCGUAGAUAUCAGGAGGAACACCAAUUGCGAAGGCAGCUCGCUGGGACGUUACUGACGCUGAGACGCGAAAGCGUGGGGAGCAAACAGG
rnacentral:rRNA from 1 species